rnacentral:rRNA from 1 species
GACGAACGCUGGCGGCGUGCCUAAUACAUGCAAGUAGAACGCACAGUUUAUACCGUAGCUUGCUACACCAUAGACUGUGAGUUGCGAACGGGUGAGUAACGCGUAGGUAACCUGCCUGGUAGCGGGGGAUAACUAUUGGAAACGAUAGCUAAUACCGCAUAAUAUUAAUUAUUGCAUGAUAAUUAAUUGAAAGGUGCAAUUGCACCACUACCAGAUGGACCUGCGUUGUAUUAGCUAGUAGGUGAGGUAACGGCUCACCUAGGCGACGAUACAUACCCGACCUGCAAGGGUGAUCGGCCACGCUGGGACGGGGACACGGCCCAGAAUCCUGCGGGAGGGAGCAGUAGGGAAUCUUCAGCAAUGGACGAAAGUCUGAACGAGCAACGCCGCGUGAGUGAAGAAGGUUUUCGGAUCGUAAAGCUCUGUUGCAAGAGAAGAACGGGUGUGAGAGUGGAAAGUUCACACUGUGACGGUAUCUUAACAGAAAGGGACGGCUAACUACGUG